GGCCGACUAGCUCAGUUGGUUAGAGCGUCGUGCUAAUACAAUGACUCGACGGCUGUUCGUUGGCAACACUGGACGGCUGACGGUCACGUUACGCGAAGGUCUUGGGUUCGAUCCCCACGUUGGCCA